CCCACGACCCAGUUUCCAGCAUAGCAGUCAAGUGGUCAGUCGGUCCUCCUCAGUGGAAUCUGUUCCUUAUAGAGAGGCUGGCUUUGGUAGCUUGGGACAAGGAGGCAGAGGUCUGCAGGGAAGGAGAACUCCCAGAGACUCUUAUAAUGAAACCCCUUCACCGGCUUCAACUCACAGCCUAUCUUAUAGACCUUCAUCUGCCUCCUCUGGACAGGGGAUUUUUUCUUUCAGACCAUCCCCAAAUGGGCAUUCAGGCCACACAAGAGUCCUUACCCCUAACAAUUUGGCUCAGAGGGAGAGCAGAACUACACUAGAGAGUCUU
rnacentral:sRNA from 1 species